GAAUCCGCUAAGGAGUGUGUAACAACUCACCUGCCGAAUGAAUUAGCCCUGAAAAUGGAUGACGCUGAAGCGGAUAGCCGACACCACGCCGUCUGGACAAAGUGGUUUUUUCAGAUGAGUAGGAGGGCGUGGCGGUCGAAAGGAAGCGUCGGUGCGAACCGGCGUGAAUCGGCCGCUAGUGCAGAUCUUGGUGGUAGUAGCAAAUAUUCAAGUGAGAUCCUUGAAGGACGAAGCGGGGAAGGGUUCCACGCGAACAUUGAUUGAGCGUGGGUGAGUCGUUCCUAAGCCGAGUGGUCAUAGCUAAUUACCGGCGAAAGGGAAGCAGGUUGACAUUCCUGCACACGGAUGUGGAGGCGGUGACGCCGUAUUGGGGUGGUUACGUUGGCGGAGGCUCUGGGCAGAGUUGUCUUUUCUGUUUGACCGUCAGUGUAUGCUGUGUGGAAUUCGCUUGUCGAGAGAAACACGCGUGCACGGGCAGAGCGCCGGGGCUUUUCCGGCGUCCAGAUCGCCUCCGACAGCCCUUGAAACACCAUCUGCUGGACAACUUUGUUGUUUGUAAAAUCCACGCCGUGGCGUACCGAUCACCGCAUCAGGUCCCCAAGGUGAACAGCCUCUGUCCAAUAUGAACAAUGCAGGUAAGGGAAGUCGGCA
rnacentral:rRNA from 1 species